UGGGGAAUUUUGGACAAUGGGCGCAAGCCUGAUCCAGCAAUGCCGCGUGAGUGAAGAAGGCCUUCGGGUUGUAAAGCUCUUUUGUCAGGGAAGAAACGGUUCUGGCUAAUAUCUGGAGCUAAUGACGGUACCUGAAGAAUAAGCACCGGCUAACUACGUGCCAGCAGCCGCGGUAAUACGUAGGGUGCAAGCGUUAAUCGGAAUUACUGGGCGUAAAGCGUGCGCAGGCGGUUGUGCAAGACCGAUGUGAAAUCCCCGGGCUUAACCUGGGAAUGGCAUUGGUGACUGCACGGCUAGAGUGUGUCAGAGGGGGGUAGAAUUCCACGUGUAGCAGUGAAAUGCGUAGAGAUGUGGAGGAAUACCGAUGGCGAAGGCAGCCCCCUGGGAUAACACUGACGCUCAUGCACGAAAGCGUGGGGAGCAAACAGGAUUAGAUACCCUGGUAGUCCACGCCCUAAACGAUGUCAACUAGUUGUCGGGUCUUAAUU
rnacentral:rRNA from 1 species